GACGAACCGUCCAAACGUUGUUCGGAAUCACUGGGCUUAAAGGGCGCGUAGGCGGGCUUCCAAGUCGGUGGUGAAAUCUUUCGGCUCAACCGGAAAAGUGCCGCCGAUACUGGGAGCCUCGAGGGAGGUAGGGGUCGAGGGAACUUCCGGUGGAGCGGUGAAAUGCGUAGAUAUCGGAAGGAACGCCGGUGGCGAAAGCGCUCGACUGGACCUCUUCUGACGCUGAGGCGCGAAAGCCAGGGGAGCAAACGGG
rnacentral:rRNA from 1 species